rnacentral:tRNA from 1 species
GGAGAGAUGGUUGAGCAGUUUAAGACGUAGCAUUGGAACUACUAUGUAGCUGUUUGUUUACCGAGGGUUCGCAUCCCUCUUUUUCCG